GACGAACGCUGGCGGCGUGCCUAACACAUGCAAGUUGAGCGACGAACCCGGGCUUGCCCUGGGGCGAAGCAGCGAACGGGUGAGUAACACGUGGGUAACCUACCCCGAUAACCGGGACAACCCGAGGAAACUCGGGCUAAUACCGGAUGUGCUCACUGGACUUCUUUUCAGUGCGUAAAGUAAGCUUCGGCCUCCGUAUCGGGAAGGGCCCCCGGCCCAUUAGUUUGUUGGUGAGGUAACGGCUCACGAAGACCGCGAUGGGUAGCUGGUCUGAGAGGACGGUCAGGCAGCCGGGGAGUGAGGCACGGCACAGACGCCUGCGGGAGGCAGCAGUGGGGAAUCUUGCGCGAUGCGGGAAAGCGUGACGCAGCAACGCCGCGGGGGGGCAGAAGGCCUUCGGGUGGUAAACCGAUUUCGGGAGGGACGAAGGUUCGGCGGUGUAUAGCCGUCCGGACUGACGGUACCUCCACAAGAAGCCCCGGCUAACUACGUG
rnacentral:rRNA from 1 species